rnacentral:pre_miRNA from 1 species
CAUUAGUAGGCCUCAGUAAAUGUUUAUUAGAUGAAUAAGUGAAUGACUCAUCAGCAAACAUUUAUUGUGUGCCUGCUAAAGUG